rnacentral:rRNA from 1 species
GACGUAGGGGGCAAGCGUUGUCCGGAUUUAUUGGGCGUAAAGAGCGUGUAGGCGGUUUGGUAGGUCCGCUGUGAAAACUCGAGGCUCAACCUCGAGACGCCGGUGGAAACCAUCAGACUAGAGUCCGGAAGAGGAGAGUGGAAUUCCUGGUGUAGCGGUGAAAUGCGCAGAUAUCAGGAAGAACACCCGUGGCUAAGGCGGCUCUCUAGUACGGUACUGACGCUGAGACGCGAAAGCGUGGGGAGCGAACAGG